rnacentral:tRNA from 1 species
GGGCCCCGUAGCUCACGGGAGAGAGCACCACCCUCCGCAGGGGCGGGUGCGCAGGUUCGAAUCCCGGGGGCACCCCA